UACAGAGGGUGCAAGCGUUAAUCGGAAUUACUGGGCGUAAAGCGUGCGUAGACGGUUAUGUAAGUCAGGUGUGAAAGCCCUGGGCUCAACCUGGGAAUGGCAUUGGAUACUGGCGGGCUAGAGUGCGGUAGAGGGCAGUGGAAUUCCCGGUGUAGCAGUGAAAUGCGUAGAGAUCGGGAGGAACAUCUGUGGCGAAGGCGACUGCCUGGACCAGCACUGACACUGAGGCACGAAAGCGUGGGGAGCAAACAGG
rnacentral:rRNA from 1 species